rnacentral:lncRNA from 1 species
CUCCUUUCUUCUCCUUCCGUCUUUUAAAUCUUUUUGUUCCCUCCUGCUCUGCUCUCUUUUCCUUCAUCUCCUCUCUUCCAGGGUCUAAUUCACACUGUUCCCGGCUCCUUUUGUCACUGCCACUUUUUCCGCUCACCAUAGACCUGUGGCGAAAUACCGAGAGCGGUGCUUGACAGGGUCGAGGCACUGGAUGAUCGUUGGAGGAGAGGAGAUGUUUGUCACCGCUAAGGAGCGGGACAGGACUGGGACUGUGCUAAUGCCACGCUGAAAGAUGAAUUCAUCGUGUUUUCUUUCUUUUUUUUUUUUAAUUCAACCUUUUUUAUGGUCAAAGCUGUAGCGCUCUCAAACACCGAGCUCCAUGAAUGUGAAAAAAUUGCAGACUGCGGUCAGUGGGCCAGCCGCUUUGCACACCACAAAACAUAUUUCCAGCAGAGACGUGGACACCCGUGCGGCGAUUUUACUCCUGCAGGAUCCUUCAGAGAAACCCACAGAGUCAUCAUGGUCUGCGGACUGCACACAGGCAACUCGCAGAGGAGAUCCUGGGGGAAGGGCCAGCACCUGAACUGCCGACAUUGCCCAGAGGUAGGGCAGGAGCUCAGCCAGGAGAAGGGUCCCCCAAGGAGUACUGCUGGGACACUUCACAGCUUGCAAUCCAGAGGGCAGAUCUACGCACAGAGCUUUUGUUACACUUCAAACACGAGUCAGAUCUACCUCAGCAGAGCCAUGCAUAUUUACCCCUGCUGAAGGGCUGCCCAUUAUAUUAAAUCCGUAGAAGAAAUGAAGAUCUGAGUGGCAUUUCAGCAGGUAAGAC